rnacentral:rRNA from 1 species
UACGUAGGGAGCAAGCGUUGUCCGGAAUCAUUGGGCGUAAAGCGCGCGUAGGUGGCCCCAUAAGUCCGCUGUGAAAGUCAAAGGCUCAACCUUUGAAAGCCGGUGGAUACUGUGGGACUAGAGUACGGAAGAGGCGAGUGGAAUUCCUGGUGUAGCGGUGGGAUGCGCAGAUAUCAGGAGGAACACCAAUAGCGAAGGCAGCUCGCUGGGACGUUACUGACACUGAGGCGCGAAAGCGUGGGGAGCGAACAGG